AGCGUCGUCAGAACGUUGAGCUGCUUGCCCGGCCAUGGUAGCUGAUGCUGCCGCCUCUCACUUGCUCCCGCCGCACGGUGUGUGCACUUCGCGGCUAUCUAGCUUUAUCUGCAAUGCUCCUCAGAGUGAGCUCUCGCUUGCUCCUCAGAGUUGGUCAGCGGUGAGCAUAAGCUGAAGUUUCUUGCAAAACUAGGAGUCUUAGGUUGUUGCCUUUUCUAGGGACAUACCGUACUACAGUAAGCAUUGAAGAAAAAUCUUAGUCGACGAAAGCGAAAGGUCGAAUUAAAAUUGCUGCUUGAGAAGGAUAUUUAUUAUGAUCCCGUCGUCAUCAAUGGUAAUUUGAUGGAUAGAAUUAGUGAGCACUUGCACGCACGUUCAUACACCAAUCAAAUGUUGCAGCAGGUAAGGAAAGAUGCUCCUUUAGCUAGUUAUUUACAUGUGACUGCGCAGCAGGUGAAACUCAUCAUGUCAAGAUCAUAGAAAGGGAGUACAGAUCACCUGUACUUUAUUGAGCAAAUCAAACUGCAAAAAGUGUAUCUUUUCUGAAGAAAAAGGCGAACUGAAUGGUAUCACUAGAGAAGUACUGCUGCAUCAGAAGUUCUCUGCCAAGUUACUAUGCAUUUUUCAGCGAAAUUUCAGUAAUACAAACAACCCUGCAUUUCUCAGAACUGAUGUGAUCAUCUGAUCAAAACAUAGUGAUGAAAGAAAUCAGCAUUGCUCACCUUUUGAGAGGGAAAUUGGGGAAGAUAUGACGUCCAGAUGUUGAACAACGAUGCAAAAAUAUUGAACAAUGCUGUUGUAUUCACGUAACUAAAUAGGCAAGGUUUAUCCUAGGAAUAUACCUGAUGCUCUUGCUAACUAGAAUCAUCUGGGCUUUGUAUAAUCCUAGUCAACUAUGCCAAUGCCGUGUUGCAUGUAUCAUAACAAGUUAACACCUCUCAGCACGAACUUGAACACACAUCAAACGCCAUUUAUUAUUGCACAAGAGAAGGAUUCCGUUUCCAGCUUCGUGUUGUGUGAACCGUCUGAUCGUAAUUGUGCACUCUCAGUUGGGCCUAAGUGUCUGUUAAUGUUCGAAUAUGCUUUGCCUACUUGACUUGCCUGCUCAUCAGCA
rnacentral:lncRNA from 1 species